AUAAAAGAUGAAUAGCGUAAGUGCCCGAUGGGUACGAACGUCAUCUUGUGACUGCAUCACCUUUGUUUGGCUAAAGUACAAGAGAACUGCAGCACCGAAGACUACAUGUACAUCGAUUUAAAUAAUCUGUAUCCUCAAAAGGCAAAUCAAAUACAGAAAAUGCAUAUAAUUUGGAAAAGAGACCACCAAUCCACUGGGGGGUAUCGCAUGAAAGCAAUGAUAUUACAGAAUAUUGUAAAGCUGGACGAGUU